UGAGGAAUAUUGGUCAAUGGGUGCAAGCCUGAACCAGCCAUCCCGCGUGAAGGACGACUGCCCUAUGGGUUGUAAACUUCUUUUGUAUAGGGAUAAACCUACCCUCGUGAGGGUAGCUGAAGGUACUAUACGAAUAAGCACCGGCUAACUCCGUGCCAGCAGCCGCGGUAAUACGGAGGGUGCAAGCGUUAUCCGGAUUUAUUGGGUUUAAAGGGUCCGUAGGCGGACUUAUAAGUCAGUGGUGAAAGCCUGUCGCUUAACGAUAGAACUGACAUUGAUACUGUAAGUCUUGAGUAUAUUUGAGGUAGCUGGAAUAAGUAGUGUAGCGGUGAAAUGCAUAGAUAUUACUUAGAACACCAAUUGCGAAGGCAGGUUACCAAGAUAUAACUGACGCUGAGGGACGAAAGCGUGGGGAGCGAACA
rnacentral:rRNA from 1 species